rnacentral:rRNA from 1 species
GAAUGGACAAACGAAAAUUAUGCUGUCUCGAUAAAUUCCCUAAAAACUAUCCUUCAAGUGAAGAGACUUGAAUUAAAAUAAAAGACAAGAAGACCCUGUAGAGCCUCAAUUUAUAUUAAACCCAAAAGUAAAAUACAUUAAAUCUUUAAUACCAUUUUAGUUGGGGCGACUAAGGACCAUCAAAACCCUCCUUCAUACAAAAGGCUUAUAAGCCUAAAUAAUGACCCAUUACAUGACCAAAAAACAAGGCUACCUCAGGGAUAACAGUCUAAUCUUCCUCAAGAGCCCAUAUUGACAGGAAGGAUUGGCACCUCGAU